rnacentral:rRNA from 1 species
AGUGAACGCUGGCGGUAGGCCUAACACAUGCAAGUCGAACGGCAGCACAGUAAGAGCUUGCUCUUACGGGUGGCGAGUGGCGGACGGGUGAGGAAUACAUCGGAAUCUACUUUUUCGUGGGGGAUAACGUAGGGAAACUUACGCUAAUACCGCAUACGACCUACGGGUGAAAGCAGGGGAUCUUCGGACCUUGCGCGACUGAAUGAGCCGAUGUCGGAUUAGCUAGUUGGCGGGGUAAAGGCCCACCAAGGCGACGAUCCGUAGCUGGUCUGAGAGGAUGAUCGGCCACACUGGAACUGAGACACGGUCCAGACUCCUACGGGAGGCAUCAGUGGGGAAUAUUGGACAAUGGGCGCAAGCCUGAUCCAGCCAUACCGCGUGGGUGAAGAAGGCCUUCGGGUUGUAAAGCCCUUUUGUUGGGAAAGAAAAGCAGCAGGUUAAUACCCCGCUGUUCUGACGGUACCCAAAGAAUAAGCACCGGCUAACUUCGUG